rnacentral:misc_RNA from 1 species
ACCAUGACUUCAACACGAAACUGCGUAACGCGCGUAAGUUCUUGGAGAAAGGUGACAAAGUGAAGGCAUCUGUCCGUUUCCGCGGUCGUGCAAUCACUCACAAAGAACUUGGACAAAAAGUACUUGAACGCAUGGCGGAUGAGUGCAAAGACAUUGCCCAAGUUGAGACCAAGCCUAAAAUGGAAGGUCGUAGUAUGUUCUUAAUGCUUGCUCCUCUUAACGAGAAGUAAGGAAUUGUAUCAAGUUAAAGGAGGAAAUUCACAUGCCAAAAAUGAAAACCCAUAAAGGUUCUCAAAAACGCUUCAAAAAGACUGGAACA